AAAAAUUAAAAUUUUAGAAAACCUGUCUGUACGGGAAAUAAAAGAAAAACUCCCCUCGCUAUUCAGAAAGCCAUGCUCGAAGAUCGUGCUUUCUUCCCGGUUCCCUAAACUCCCACACGAAGACAAAUAGAAACAAUCAUUCGUCAUAUGCACCACCUUCAAUCUCAGGCUAUAGACUGGCACAAGAUACGGGGAAAAAACUGUCCUAAGGAAAAAACUGCCAUUACGACCCCGACUCUAGAACCAACAUUAUACCCUUUAUCAUAGACUUGAGGGAUUUUAUUAAUUAAAAAAACGCAGGGACGGUCGUGUCACAAAUACAAUCCCUAAAUAACCAAUCUACACAAAAACAACAAACACAUACUACAAUAAAAUAUCCAAAGCAUAAAUAACGCAAAUAAUUAACACCUUCUCAACAUGCAUUUAAUAAACAACGACGUCGAUAUUGCAAUCCUAUCUGAGACUUGGGUCAAGGACAGCUCUGACUGCAGCAUGCUGGGGUUCAAGUUUUACGCAAACAGGAAAUGAUGGCUAUGGGUAUGUACUUAAAAAAUUUCUUAACCGCCGGCAUUGACUUUUCUAGAGCUAUUAAUUUAUGGAGGGGGAGUUUCUGGAACAUUACCCAUGGGGCAAAUUCGAAACCGGGAACUCUUCGAACAUGGCGGGACUUAGCGGGAAAAGCGGGUAUUCAACACAUGGGCCCCAAGGAGUAGAGAAUCACUGGGCCGAUAACUUCUUCACGUUCGUCGAUAUUGCCACGGCUGGAUUAAUGACAUCCUUGGGAUCUGGUAUUUCGGACAAAGUCGAUAGUUUCAAGGCUGCAGUCACAACAUCUUUGGUAUCUGGUAUUUCAUACAUAGUCGAUAUUUCCAGGGCUACAGUCACGACACCUGUGGUAUCUUCGAAUAUGGCUAGGUGGCAACGCUCUUAUACAUGUAAACAGAGAAUAAUUUAAAAAUAUGCAAUAUGCAGAAAAAAAUAAAAACAGAAAUGACGCGAAGGAGGAAAAAAACAAGGAGCAGGACAUUUAGACAUAAAAUAUGGUCAUCAUCAUCGAAAAAUUUUGUUAGUACUCUUCAUGAACGAUUUUCAGGUACAAGGAUCCAGGACAACCUCCAUUGAAGAUAAAAUAGACAGGAUACAUGCGCAUUAAUAUAAAUUUCAUUUGUGGACGGAGUACAAAAACAAAAGUGGAAGUGCACUGCUUUAAAUAGUCGUCGUACCGGCGACCCACUCGUUCUACUUCGUUGUCAGACCUCGAUUCAUGUGGCGAUUGGCUUCCAGGUGAUAGUGGCCAAUCCACAGGAUUGAGCAUAGUGAAAAGGUGACCAGUCGAAUGAGGCAAAUAUUGGGACGGGAUCCGGAUGACAGUCUUUCCCUGAGGGCCCCAAUGUGUCGUAGGAUACUUAGGCUAUGCUCAUGGAGAAACGGUAGGUUGAACCGGUUGUGGUGAGCCGAUACGGCCGGUUUCUUUAUUGCGCUUCCCAGCUGAUUUACGAACCAGGUUCCGUUGAGCGCUACCUUGUCAGAGUACGUUAACAAGUAGGUUCCGGAACUUUUUUGUUCCCGGCCUUGGUCGUCGGUCACCGUAAAGUUGGCAUCGUUGAUGCCGAGGGUGUCGUGAUCCACAAUAGUGACUGGAUCUAGGUGACCCGAGAGCGUGGAGCAGUGCACGAUGGUUCCAUAAACUAAAUAUAUAACUGAUAAAAUUAAAUAAAAAUAAAAUUUUUUUAAAAAACCAA